UUCUCGAAGGUGGUGGGCGUGGCUGAAGAGGCUUUAUGGGGCGGGAAGAGCAGCCGCGGCGUGGAGAAAAAGAGUGGAAGGCGGGAUGGAUGUGGGUGUAGCGGAGUUUGAGGAAAGGUUGCCCAGGCUGCAGGAACUCAUCCUUGAUUGCGACUUUGUCAGCCUAGAUAUGGAAUUUACAGGUCUGCAUUCUAUCUCUCCACCAACAGGACAGCCCAGCCUCUUUGACUCCCCUGCCGAGUGGUAUCGGAAAGCCAAGCAGAGUGUCCAACAGUUUACAGUGAGUCAGUUUGGGUUAUCUGUGUUUUCCAGUGAAAACUCAAACAAGUAUAUGUCACAUUCGUAUAACUUUUUCCUCUUCCCUGCAACCUUCGGCGGAAUGGAUUCUGAGUUCUCUUUCCAAGCAUCUAGCAUUCAGUUCCUGACUCAUUAUGGUUUUGACUACAACAAGUUUCUUAAGGAUGGGGUCCCAUACCUGAAUGAAACACAGGAGAAGAAACUUCAGCAACAUAUUCUGUCUGGUAACUGGAAUGCCCAUAGUAGUAUCGACAGGGACAAGCUGAAAAAGGUGAUUGAUGAAGUAACGUUCUGGGUGUCCUUUGCAGAAGAGGAAGAUUCAAUGGUUUUGCAUGAUAUACAUGGCUUCCAGAUGUUGGAAGUACAGCUGGUUCUAAGACAAGCUCUCCAAGACAUUUGGACAGUCCCUUUGGGAGUUAAAGAAGUAAUGGUGAAGAAGAUUAACCCACGGAAUCGCUGGCUACUAGAGAAAACUUCUUACGAUUCUUGCCAAAGAGAGCAAAUUCUUCUCUCUGCAAGGGGCUUCACCAACCUCUUCCAGACACUUAUUAAAGCAAAGAAGCUGCUGGUAGGCCACAAUAUGCUGAUGGAUCUUCUACAUCUACAUGACAAAUUUUACAAACCUCUUCCUGAAAACUAUGAGGAGUUUAAAAAGAACAUACACUCUCUCUUUCCUCUCCUCCUGGACACAAAGAACAUAGCAAAAGUCACCUGGAAGGAGUUUCAGUUUCCUCAGGCUUCUAAUCUUUUGGAGGUUUUUGAAAUGUUGUGCAGUGACCUGAAUCCCACAAACUCAUCUUCUCCAGAGAUUUGUCAUGCAAGUGACUGCCUCAGAUAUGCUGAAAACAAGUGUCCCCAUGAGGCAGCCUAUGAUGCAUUUCUCUGCGGAUCAGUUCUUCUGAAAAUAGCCCAUCUACACUUUUGCAGAAUGUCUUGUGAUCCAGCAAGAAGUUCCCCUUCUUUUGCUCAGUAUCUUGAUGUAUUGGCUGCGUAUGUGAACCAGGUGAACCUUAUCCGAGCUGGUAUUCAAAAAAUUAACUUUUCUGGCAAGGAUGAGCCCACAAGACGUCCGCCACUCCUGAUAGCAACUGUACGAGGAUGGCCUGGUGUGGAUGAACAGCAGAUCUACCAGGAGUUAAGAAUCUUCUGUAGAUUUGAUGUGCGACGGCUAGGAAUGAACCAGUUUCUCUUGGUCUCCAAUAAAUUUAAAGAUGUCAGGGUGAUUCAGAAAACCUAUCAAGCUCAUCCCAAUCUUCAGAUUUCUCUGUAUCGCUACUGGAGGCAUUCGCCACAAGUGAACUGCUUUUUUCAAAUUUGUGGGAUUGUGGCCUCUUGGUCUUUCCUGGCUUUCUUGCUUGGAGCUCUGUGAACCGUGCAGCAUAAACGUUCAUCUACUGGAACACCCUUUUUCUCCUGUGUUUCUCUUCCCCUUUCUCCUCAUAAAGUUUAAUCCUACAGUUAAUGGCCUGAGACCACCCCCACCAAUGAUAAUUUGAGACCCCUUCAAAGCUGCUCUGUUUCCUUCAUCCUUCAAAGCUUUCUCCAGAAUCAUAUGGGUUGACUCCCAGGCCUCCUUCCUCUUCCAGCAUCCAACACAGAGAUAUACAAAAGGUUUAACACUGCUGUUGACAGAAUCAAACAACAAUGAAAGCAGGAACAGGGUCGGUCCAUCUUGUUUUUGAUCCCAAUGCAUGAUGACGUCAGUAAUCCUAAUUGAAGAAGCAAAGAUGAGAACCAAAGCCACUGUGGCCAUGAUGAUGACGUCAAGCCCUGCUGGAGGGGUCUGUGGCACUUUCUUCUGUGUUGUGAUGAAAAGGGCCAAAGUGGAAAAGGCCAUGAUGGGAAAAACACCCAGGAGGUUGACGAUUUCAAAUGUAUAUGCAACAUUACAACUAAAUGUACCUUCUUUAAGGGAUGGGAGGAAUCUUGGAUAACAGACAAUAUAGACCACCAGUGAAACCAGGCAGGAGACAGACCACAAAAUGGCGCACACAGUUUCUGAGAGAUGCUUUGGCAGGUGAAAUUGACACCAAACUGGGAAAAAGACCAUGAGACAUCUUACAGCACUGACAGCUGUUAACAAAUAGAUGCUGGAGUUGUAUCCAAGCAAAUACAUAAUCUCCAUUACACGUAAAAAGUAUAUAUUGGCAUGUAGUGAUGAUAAAUAUAAAAUGAAAACCAUAGAAAAGUAGAACAGUACAAUAAGAUCAGCAACUGCCAAAUUCAGUACAUACACUGUGAACUUAGUCUUCUUGAUCCUGCAGCAGAGAAGCCACCAGACAAUUCCAUUCCCAGUUAAUCCCCAAAUGCAGAAUGGAGUAGAUAUAGUUAUAAUUGUUUCCAAGAAGGUCCAAGCGCCCUUCUUUGGAAAAAUCUCCAGGUGAGUGUGAUUUUUCUUGGCUGCAGUUGCAGUAUGGGAAGACAAGGCAUUUCCCUCUGCCAUCAUAACACUAUCAAUGUGUCCAGUGAUUCUUGUCCAUCUACAAAAUCAAUCACAUAAGUUGUUUUUUAGGUGCUAAGAUGGUGCAAUAUGGAUACAAAAGCUUUCACAAGGUGGCUUACCAAGCAAGGACACUGUGUUUUAAUAAGACACUUGAAUUUCUAUCUGGGAAAGGGCAAUUUGGAAAUGUCUCCACCUCCCACCCACUCCAGCUUGCUUCACUGUGCAGGACUGUCAGACUUCACUGAGAGAAUUUGGGGAUGGUUGGAACCUACAAAAUCUGUCAUGGUCCUUUCAUUGAUUCUACAGUAAGUUGUAGCACGUAUUACACUUCCAGAUAUUCUCUACCAGAUAAUGUUUUCCAGAAGCAACUGCUUAAAGGAUACAGUAGUACCUAUUUUCUCGCUGCAGACAGAAAUUGUUGUGUGCUUAAUUUUUGUAAAGAUAUUGUAGAAGGAGAUGAGGUGGGUGUUCUUGACUAAAAGUAAGUUUUCCUCUGUCCUUAAUGAUAAAAGCUAUUUAAAUGUAGCAAUUACAGUUUGCCACAAGUAAUUUCUUCUGAAGCAACCAAGGGAGAUGCUUGUUGAAACAAUUGUCAUCAUUUCACAUAUAAAUGGAUUUUGCCACUUA